CACGUAGGGCGCAAGCGUUGUCCGGAAUUAUUGGGCGUAAAGAGCUCGUAGGCGGUCUGUUGCGUCCGCUGUGAAAACUCGGGGCUUAACCCCGAGCCUGCAGUGGAUACGGGCAGACUAGAGGUAGGUAGGGGAGAAUGGAAUUCCCGGUGUAGCGGUGAAAUGCGCAGAUAUCGGGAGGAACACCGGUGGCGAAAGGCGGUCA
rnacentral:rRNA from 1 species